AGUAUGAUGACGUGUGGUUAAAUUCUCCCUUGUUUUUAUUAGUGCAUAAAAUAAAUACCAUCAUCGAGUACCUAAUAUAAAAAGAACCUCAAAUAAGCUUUUAUCUUCGGCAGACGCUUAGCGACGGUUGGAUUUAAAUACUAAAAUGGCGCGAAUAAUACUAGAGGUGAAGCAGGAGCUUCCUGAUGAUGACUAUGUUACGAUGACGUCCAAUUCUUCCGCAACAUCAAGUGACACGGAUGAUACAAAGGAUAACAUCCGCCUUCCGAUCAUGGAGAGAUUGGAUAGAGUUUUUAAACAACUAGACGAAAUCGUUAAACCAAACACUCCAGAACCACGCGAAUAUUUGGAAAUGGUCGAUGAUCCCGAUUGCGAUAUAGCACAAACAAGGGCCGAAGCAUGGGCGAGACAGAAUCAAGAAUACCAAAAUAAAUGCCCCGACUAUGAAUGGUUCCACAAAUAUAGGGAGCCACGACGACAGGCUGCGUCACCUCCCCCGCAGCCAAGAAAAGGGUGUGACAUAAAAACCAGUGCUGACCGGGAGGCCGCUGUUAACAAGAUCUAUGCUUUGGUGAAGGACAUAGAUAAUGUAAUAUACCGUAAGCCCAACAUAAAGAUAAAUCGCCCUCCGAUGUACUUCAGCUCACGUCACGGUGGCUCGAACACGGCCUCGACCUCGACGUCGACUCGCCCCCGACGUGAUAAGAGACAUCUGAAUAUUUCUCCGGCGUCAGUAAUUAUACAUUGUUCUAAAUGCAAGUCUUUAAAUAGACACAUCACGUACUUACGGAAUCGACACCAAGCUAGCCGACGGAAUAGGAUAUUUUUUUAAUCAUCGCACGGUAACAAACAACAACAAAGAUAUUAGACUUUUGGUUAUACUUAAUUUUGAAAUUGACCUCUCUUUUAAAUAAUCACAUUCUAGGAACUAAAAGCUACAUAUUUCUUACUCUGUAAAGACUGGAGACAUAUUGCCUCGUCAUCAAUCCGCUAUUACCUGAAGAUUCGCCCGUAAUGUAGGAGGCGGCUUCGUAAUUUGGUUUUAAAAUAAUAUAGGGAUUCAGUUAUAACCACUUUAAACCAGUAACGUUAUUUAAGCUUCAUGUAUUCAUUUCGAUGUUAGUGUAGCUCGUAUAAUGGAUGUUUUUGUCAUUUCAAAUAUGUAUCGUAGUGUAUACUUGAUGUUAUGCAUACAUAGGUUACAAUAUAGUAGAAAUAAAACAAAAAGAAAUAAAAAAGAAAA